CCCUUAGAUGUUCUGGGCCGCACGCGUGCUACACUGAGAGGAUCAGCGGGUCAGGUUGCGCGAAAGUGUUUCCUAAUCUUUAAAUCCGCUCGUGAUGGGGAUUGACGGUUGCAAUUUUCCGUCAUGAACGAGGAAUACCUUGUAAGCGCGGGUCAUCAUCCCGCGCUGAAUACGUCCCUGCCCUUUGUACACACCGCCCGUCGCUCCUACCGAUUGAGUGGUCCGGUGAGGCUUUGGGAUCUGAGCGGAAAGAGCGUUUCGCUGUUUCUGCCCGGAAAACUCAGUCGAACCUUAUCAUUUAGAGGAAGGAGAAGUCGUAACA
rnacentral:rRNA from 1 species